rnacentral:rRNA from 1 species
GCGUUGUUCGGAAUCACUGGGCGUAAAGCGCACGUAGGCGGAUUUUUAGGUCAGGGGUGAAAUCCCGAGGCUCAACCUCGGAACUGCCUUUGAUACUGGAGAUCUUGAGUCCGGAAGAGGUAAGUGGAACUGCGAGUGUAGAGGUGAAAUGCGUAGAUAUUCGGAAGAACGCGAGUGGCGAAGGCGACUCACUGGACACGUAUUGACGCUGAGGUGCGUAAGCGUG